AUUGAACGCUGGCGGCAUGCUUUACACACGCAAGUCGAACGGUAACAGGCCUUCGGGUGCUGACGAGUGGCGAACGGGUGAGUAAUGCAUCGGAACGUGCCCAGGGGUGGGGGAUAACGCAGCGAAAGCUGUGCUAAUACCGCAUGUGAUCUGAGGAUGAAAGCGGGGGACCAGGCAGCAAUGUUUGGCCUCGCGCCUUUGGAGCGGCCGAUGUCAGAUUAGGUAGUUGGUGGGGUAAAGGCCUACCAAGCCGACGAUCUGUAGCUGGUCUGAGAGGACGACCAGCCACACUGGGACUGAGACACGGCCCAGACUCCUACGGGAGGCAGCAGUGGGGAAUUUUGGACAAUGGGCGCAAGCCUGAUCCAGCAAUGCCGCGUGCGGGAAGAAGGCCUUCGGGUUGUAAACCGCUUUUGUACGGAACGAAAAGGCUCUGGCUAAUACCUGGGGCUGAUGACGGUACCGUAAGAAUAAGCACCGGCUAACUACGUG
rnacentral:rRNA from 1 species